UGGAUUUCAGGCUAGAUGAGUCCAAGUUU
rnacentral:piRNA from 1 species